UACGUAGGUGGCAAGCGUUGUCCGGAAUUAUUGGGCGUAAAGCGCGCGCAGGCGGUCCUUUAAGUCUGAUGUGAAAGCCCACGGCUCAACCGUGGAGGGUCAUUGGAAACUGGGGACUUGAGUGCAGAAGAGGAAAGCGGAAUUCCACGUGUAGCGGAUGAAUGUCGUAGUAGAUGUGGAGGAACACCAGUGGCGAAGGCGGCUUCUGGUCUGUAACUGACGCUGAGGCGCGAAGCGUGGGGAGCAAACAGGA
rnacentral:rRNA from 1 species